UGCAAGUCGAGCGAACGGAUAAGGAGCUUGCUCCUUUGAAGUUAGCGGCGGACGGGUGAGUAACACGUGGGUAACCUACCUAUAAGACUGGGAUAACUUCGGGAAACCGGAGCUAAUACCGGAUAACAUUUAGAACCGCAUGGUUCUAAAGUGAAAGAUGGUUUUGCUAUCACUUAUAGAUGGACCCGCGCCGUAUUAGCUAGUUGGUAAGGUAACGGCUUACCAAGGCGACGAUACGUAGCCGACCUGAGAGGGUGAUCGGCCACACUGGAACUGAGACACGGUCCAGACUCCUACGGGAGGCAGCAGUAGGGAAUCUUCCGCAAUGGGCGAAAGCCUGACGGAGCAACGCCGCGUGAGUGAUGAAGGGUUUCGGCUCGUAAAACUCUGUUAUUAGGGAAGAACAAAUGUGUAAGUAACUGUGCACAUCUUGACGGUACCUAAUCAGAAAGCCACGGCUAACUACGUGCCAGCAGCCGCGGUAAUACGUAGGUGGCAAGCGUUAUCCGGAAUUAUUGGGCGUAAAGCGCGCGUAGGCGGUUUCUUAAGUCUGAUGUGAAAGCCCACGGCUCAACCGUGGAGGGUCAUUGGAAACUGGGAAACUUGAGUGCAGAAGAGGAAAGUGGAAUUCCAUGUGUAGCGGUGAAAUGCGCAGAGAUAUGGAGGAACACCAGUGGCGAAGGCGACUUUCUGGUCUGUAACUGACGCUGAUGUGCGAAAGCGUGGGGAUCAAACAGGAUUAGAUACCCUGGUAGUCCACGCCGUAAACGAUGAGUGCUAAGUG
rnacentral:rRNA from 1 species